GAUGAACGCUGGCUGCGUGCCUAAUACAUGCAAGUCGAGCGAACAGACGAGGAGCUUGCUCCUCUGACGUUAGCGGCGGACGGGUGAGUAACACGUGGAUAACCUACCUAUAAGACUGGGAUAACUUCGGGAAACCGGAGCUAAUACCUGAUAAUAUAUUUAACCGCAUGGUUCAAGAGUUAAAGACGGUUUUGCUGUCACUUAUAUGUGGAUCCGCGCCGCAUUAGCUAGUUGGGAAGGUAACGGCUUACCAAGGCAACGAUGCGUAGCCGACCUGAGAGGGUGAUCGGCCACACUGGAACUGAGACACGGUCCAGACUCCUACGGGAGGCAGCAGUAGGGAAUCUUCCGCAAUGGGAGAAAGCCUGACGGAGCAACGCCGCGUGAGUGAUGAAGGUCUUCGGAUCGUAAAACUCUGUUAUUAGGGAAGAACAAAUGUGUAAGCAACUAUGCACGUCUUGAAGGUACCUAAUCAGAAAGCCACGGCUAACUACGUG
rnacentral:rRNA from 1 species